rnacentral:rRNA from 1 species
UACGGGGGGAGCAAGCGUUGUUCGGAUUUACUGGGCGUAAAGGGCGCGUAGGCGGCGCAACAAGUCACUUGUGAAAUCUCCGGGCUUAACCCGGAGCGGCCAAGUGAUACUGUCGUGCUAGAGUGCGGAAGGGGCUACUGGAAUUCUCGGUGUAGCGGUGAAAUGCGUAGAUAUCGAGAGGAACACCUGCGGCGAAGCGGGUAGCUGGGCCGAGCACGUGACGCUGAGGCGCGAAAGCCAGGGGAGGCGAACGGG